AUGGUCUUUACUGGAAGUACAUUUAAAGGCGGAAAUUCAGAGCGUGUCUUAUAGUAAGAUAGAUUCGUUAGAUAUCGCUGAAGAUGCGGGUUCGUUAUUAUACGGUGCUGCGAGUCUUCCUCUGUAGAGUGACGUAUUUCAGUUAGAUGAGCGUCAUUUGCGAUUAUAUACUCAGUUCCUGUUUGUAGCAUUAGCCAGCUUUAACUAAUAGCUCCGCUGUGAUGGAUCAAUGUGCAGAGCAAGACGGCGAUCCGGUCCAGACUAGGCGCAGUAAGACUCUCAUCAUACGGCACCUUCCUUCGGAGUUGAAUCGUGACGAAAAAGAGGAUUUGCUGAGAUACUUUGGGGCGGUGUCAGUGAGAGCCUUCUCCGAUAGGGGAUUGCUGAAACACACCGCCUUUGCCAGCUUUGCCAGCGAGAAGUCCGCAGCCAAGGCUCUAGGCAGGCUCCACCAGCUGAAAAUCCUGAAUCACACGCUGGUCGUGGAGUUUGCGAAGGACCAGGACGCCGUCACCGUGCUGAAGAACCCCCCAGUUUCAGACAGCUUAACUAAGGAGAAGGAUGUGAAGAAGAAAGACGGACAGCAGCCCAGCGCUCCGUUAAUAGAAACCGGAGCAGCCCCCAGCCUUGGGCUGAAAUUCCAGGUGAAUCCCUCACUGAAGUAUCUGUACCCACCUCCAUCAGGCAGGAUUCUGACUAACAUCACACACGCCCUCAUCAGUGUGCCCAAGUUUUAUGUCCAAGUUCUUCACCUGAUGAACAAGAUGAAUCUACCGUGUCCUUUUGGAGCCAUAACCGCCGCCCCCCCUCUGUAUGAGAGCGUCCCUGUGCAGCCGCCGCCCAUGCCCCCACUGCCCCCCGAGUACCCUCCCUUGCCGGAGGAGGAGAUGGAGUUUUCCAGUGAGGAGGAGUCCGAGUAUGAGAGUGAGGAUGGGGAGGAGAAGGAGAGGAUGGUCAGGAUGAUGGGCAUCGUGAACCAGCAGUGCAAACGGCUCCUGAGGACGAAACGAUCUUCCACGAGGAAGAAACCCAAGCUGAAGGACCUCCUGUUUGCACCCAAAGCGGACGCACCCAGUGGCCACGCCCCCGCUCUGCAGCCCUCGGACGUGUUUGAGCAGGCUCAGGCCCUCAACCAGAAGAAGAUCGAGUUCCACAUCUCUGCUGAUGUUUCGGAGCUCCUGGACAGAGGAGCUGCGGCCCCGGCAGAGGAGCCCAAGGGGCCCGAAGUUGUUGUGGAAGAGGAGACCUUGACCUUGGAGCAGCCGGCUGAUGGUUUCGGGAAGAUCUACCCAGUGGCCCAAGUGGCGAAGGUGGAGGAGGACAGCGACGAGGACACUGAGAUCCCCUCCGAGUUCAUCUCCAGGAGAGAGCUGGAGAAAGGCAGACUCACCAAAGACGAGAUUAAGAGAAUGUCCGUAUUCAAAAACUAUGAGCCUGGAGAUCCAACAUGUCGGCUGUACGUGAAGAACAUAGCGAAGCAGGUCGAGGAGAAGGACCUGAGGUACAUCUAUGGAAGAUAUGUGGAUAUGUCCUCGGAGACGGAGAGGAACAUGUUUGAUGUGGUGCUGAUGAAGGAGGGCAGGAUGAAAGGGCAGGCGUUCAUCGGGCUGCCCAGCGAGACGAGCGCAGCGAAAGCCCUGAGGGACACCAACGGAUUCGUGCUGCAGGACAAGCCCCUCAUUGUUCAAUUUGCCAGGUCAGCCAGGCCGAAAGAGGCUCCUGGGGAUCUGAGCAAGACCCAGAAACGGCGAUGAGCAGGUGAGGAGGAAAUAAAGGAUCUGCGUUUCGUAUGGUGUCAGCAGCUGGCCCGUGCCGCGUCCCACGGAGUGCGUGGGGCUUCACUGAUCCUGGGUCAGCUCACUUGACCAUAUAUUAAUGCCAAGUUACAGCCCUCUAUUGUGGCUCAGCAGGACACUGUAUCCUUCUGAGAUGACAUAUCCUUUCAAAGGGCUUUUUCUACUAUCUACAAAAUUCUGAUGAUCUUAGUUCAUGUAAUGUAACUUCCCAUGCCAUAGAAGUGAGCUUUUCAGUGUCUGAAUGCUGUUGGAAAUUUUAGCCGUGUGUGUGUGUGUGUGUGUGUGUGUGUUGUUGUUGUUCUGCUUAUGUGAUCAGAAACGUGUGUGAUGAAGAGGCAUCUCGUAUUGGAGCAUACGCAUGCGCACACACAUGCUUGCACACUCGCUCCUGCAUUUGUGCUCCAUCUUUAAUCUGCCUCAUCUCUCCCGUUCAGCUUGUUCUGCGACGACCCUGUGAAGACAGCAGCUAGAGAUGUAAAGUUUUUGUUCUUAAAUAAACCUGGUUUUCCCGA